GAGCGCGGAGGCGCGCACGCGGGGCCCCAGCCGCGCGCAGCCGCGGUCUCCCUAGUUGUGUCCCUCAGCCGCGGUCGCCGUAGCUCUCGACGCGGUCGUCCCCGCCGAGCCGCGGGCGCCGCCGCAGGGAGGGAGCGGCGCUGCGGCCGCCGCCGUCCGAGGACGCCCCGUAUUCCGGGGCCCGGCACGGUGGCUGCCCGCUCGCCGAGCGCAGCCCGCCUAGGAGGAAGGCGGCGGCUUGCGUCCAGCGGGCCGCCGGAGCCGGGAGGAGACCAUGUCCGUGAGGCGCCCUCAGUUCUCCACGACCGAGCGCGUCAUCAAAGCUGUCCCCUUUCCUCCAACCCGACGGCUAACUUUGAAGGAAGUUUUUGAGAAUGGGAAACCUAAAAUGGAUCUUUUGAAAAACCAUUUAGUAAAAGAAGGUCGGGUGGAAGAGGAGGUGGCCUUAAAGAUCAUCAAUGAUGGGGCUGCCAUCCUGAAGCAGGAGAAGACCAUGAUAGAGGUGGAGGCUCCGAUCACAGUGUGUGGUGAUGUUCAUGGACAAUUCUUUGACCUGAUGAAGUUGUUUGAAGUUGGGGGAUCACCUAGUAAUACUCGCUACCUCUUCCUGGGUGACUAUGUGGACAGAGGCUAUUUCAGUAUAGAGUGUGUGCUGUAUCUAUGGAGCUUAAAGAUUAACCAUCCUAAAACAUUGUUUCUGCUUCGAGGAAAUCAUGAAUGCAGGCAUCUUACAGAGUACUUCACCUUCAAACAGGAAUGUCGGAUCAAGUAUUCAGAGAUGGUGUACGAUGCGUGCAUGCACACUUUCGACUGUCUUCCUCUUGCUGCCCUCUUAAACCAGCAGUUUCUCUGUGUACAUGGAGGAAUGUCUCCUGAAAUUACUUGUUUAGAGGACAUUAGGAAAUUAGAUAGGUUUUCUGAGCCUCCUGCUUUUGGGCCAGUGUGUGACCUGCUGUGGUCUGAUCCCUUAGAGGACUACGGCAGCGAGAAGACCCUGGAGCACUAUACCCACAACACUGUCCGAGGCUGCUCCUACUUCUUCAGUUACCCUGCAGUUUGUGAAUUUUUACAGAACAACAGUUUAUUAUCAAUAAUCAGAGCCCAUGAAGCCCAGGAUGCGGGGUACCGAAUGUAUAGGAAGAACCAAGCAACUGGCUUUCCGUCACUUAUUACGAUUUUCUCUGCCCCUAAUUACCUAGAUGUCUAUAACAAUAAAGCUGCAGUGUUGAAGUAUGAAAACAAUGUCAUGAACAUCAGGCAGUUCAACUGUUCCCCACACCCCUACUGGCUCCCAAACUUCAUGGAUGUUUUCACGUGGUCUUUGCCUUUUGUUGGAGAGAAAGUGACAGAGAUGCUGGUCAAUAUUCUCAACAUAUGCUCGGAUGAAGAAAUGAACGUAACCGAUGAAGAAGGAGCUACUACAGGUCGAAAAGAAGUCAUCAAGAAUAAAAUCCGAGCCAUUGGGAAAAUGGCCCGGGUCUUUACGGUUCUUCGGGAAGAGAGUGAGAAUGUGCUGACCCUCAAGGGCCUCACUCCCACAGGCACACUCCCACUGGGGGUCCUCUCUGGAGGAAAGCAGACCAUUGAGACUGACAAUUUAUUUCACCAAAGAAGAUGUGAAGAUGGCCAGCAAACAUGUAUGAAGAUGCCCAGCAUAGUUACUCUCCUGGAAGAUGAAUAUGAAAGCAUAGUGAACCACUUCUGCAUACCCAUAAGAAUGGCUGGAAUGUAGAAAUCUGACGAGGUCAAGAGUUGGUGUGUCUAUGGAGGCCUGGACUAGAAGUAGGCUAGUGGGCUUACACAUAGACUCAACACAUUGGCCAGCCGGUAGCCAAUAAAGCUGAAGACACUUGGACCCAUACCCUGCAACUCCACACCAAGGAUAUCCAAGAGGAAUUAGCAUGCAUGUCCACCCGAGGAUAUGCAUAAGCAUGUUUGUUUACUGUGGUUUUAUCAUGGUAGCUCCAGAUCAGAAGCAGCUCCCCUGCCUGUUGGUAGUGAAUACAUUAUAUUAUAUUGAUACAGUAGGCUACUGCUCACCCAUUGGACCUGUUGCAUUGAGGUCAAAGCACAAGCUUAGCUCCUGUCCAUCAGUAAGAAAGAGUGUCACUCUGAAAGCCAGUGAUAUCUUGAAGAGUUACACAUGCUUUGGAAAUAACAUAUAAGUAAUCCCUAAUUAAAGCACUGAUUCAAACCAGAAAUGAAGAGACAUAAAAUAUACUGGGACCAAGCCCAAAAAGGAGUGAAGAAAAAAAAAUAUGUAUAUACAUACAUAUAUAUAUAUCCCAAGUUACUGCACCUAUAAAAUUCUCUUGCUACCCUUGAUUUGUAGAUUUGCUCCUAUGAGAUCUAGCAAAAAAAUUAUAUUAAAGCAACUUUGUGGAUCAAUAAAUUUUUAAAACUUCAAGUAAGGAAGAUAGGUAGGCAUUUCUCUUUUUUUCUUAAUCCAUGUUACUUCCUAUUAACCUAAAACACCCUCAUCAGAACUGUUCACAGAAAAUCUCAUAUGACUAAUUAACAAGUAAAAUAAAAGUAGUUAAGUAUCUUAUAUUUUUAAAAGCCUGUACAUUUCUUUAGAGAUAUGGCCUCUAGGAGGUCGACCAUCCUUCAGAGGAUAGUUCACAGCCCUGUGAAAGAGACUAAGUAGAUUCAGUGAGUUAUUAAACAACAAAAAAGGAGAGGACAUGGAGAUGGUGGGAGGUGGGUAUGAUCAAGAUACACUAUAUAUGUACAAAUGAAGAUCCUGCAACCAUGGAGUUGAGGGUGCAUUGGAAAUACUUUAUGGACCUGAGAGAGGACUCAGUGGGUAAUAAAAGAUACUUAUUGCCAAAGUUGAUGACCUGAGUUUGGUCCCACAUGGUGGAAGAAGAGAACCAACUCCUGCACUCUUUAACCACCAUAUGUGUGCUGUGGCAUGCUCAUGAACACACACACACACACACACACACACACACACACACACACACACAAUGUAAUAGAACAUAAUGAAGGGGCUAGAGAGAUGGCUUAGCAGUUAAGAACACUUGCAUUCUUACAUGGGGCCUGAAUUUGGUUCUCAGCACCCACAUGGUGGCUCACAACCAUCUAUAACUGCAUUCCAGGGGAUCUGACACUUUUCUGAUCUCUACAGGCACCAUCCAUGCAAAUGGUACACAUAUAUAAAAGCAGAAAAAACAGCCAUAUACAUAAAAUAAAAAUCAACCUAAAAAAAGUUAACCACAGUCAGUGGUAACUAAGAUAGGUUUGAUGAUGAUGAUGAAGUCAGUAGGUAGCUGGAUGUGGCUGCAUGCUUGUAAUCUCAGCACUUGAGUGGCAGACAUGGGAGGAUCAGGAAGGAGUUUGAUAUUCUAGCUACACAGCAAAUUUCAGGGAUGGCCUGGCCUAUAUAUGACCCUGCUUAAAAAAAAUCGUUUUAAGGAUUAAUGAGAGCUUCAGUGUCUGUAAUAAAGCUCUUGCCUGGUGUGCAUGAAACUUUUGGUUUGAUCCUUAGGACUGGGGAAAUGACAGAAAGGAAGGAAAGAAAGGAAAUUGUUGAUGAGAUUUUAGAGAAAUGAGGUCAUCCUGUGCUGCUUGAGGGAAUAGAGCUACUGUAGAGAGAACAUUGUAUCAGUUCUUCAGAUGACUAAAUAGAGUCACCAUAGAUUCAGCACUGCCACCCUACACGGCCCCCUCCAGUGAGAGAAAUAAACUAUGUCCUCACCAAGACUUGUAUAUCAAUGGUCAUACAUGACACUUUCAAAAGAGCCUCACAUGGCAUUCUUCUGAACACCCUAAAGUAGAUGCGACUUCAGUGUUCAUCCAUUGGAUAACAAAGUAAGGUCUAUACAGUGGGAUUCCACAUAGCCAUAACAAGAAGGAAUGCACUCAUAUGCAUCAAGGCUAGGCUAUACUGCAUAGUGAGUUCCACGCCAGCCUAGCCUACGUAGUGAGAGCCUGUCUCAAAACAGCAAAAAUAGUGACAUACACACUUGAAACAAUGUUCUAGCAUAGGAAUUAUAUGUAAACAGUUUCAUAAUUUUUUUUCUUACCAUGUCCCUUGGUACAUACAGACUGCAUCUUAGUAACCAAUGCAAAAAACAGUUCAGUGAGGGCCCUAAAAUUUUAAUACUGGAGGUCUGUAGAGAUGGCUCAACAGUUAAGAGUACUUAUGGUCUUUGCAGGGGACCUGAAUUCGGUUCCCAAAACCACAUAAUAGCUCAAAGUCAUCCUUGCCUCCAGUUCCAGGGGGUGUGACAUCCUCUUCUGAUCUCCACAUAUGCAGGCAAAACAUUCAGACACAUGAAAUAAAUAAAUCUAGAUUUUUUUUUUUUUGAAAUGGGAUGCUGGUAUAUACUUUACCACACACAUUCAAACUCCAAGUAAACCACCACUCUCCGUAGAGUUUUAGACGGAACUCUGGUUCCCACCUUCUCACAGCUGCAGAGGCAGCACCCUGCUCUGUGAGAGGUGCUGUCCCUCCUUGUGUGGCUUAUCUGGCCCGUCUGAGGUCAGAGAGACUACAGCAGUGCUCUAACAGGAGCCUUCCUAGGGGCCAUUGCAGGCACAUGGGUGCUGGCCGCCAGAUCCUGCUCUUAAAUUGCAGUGGGAGGUGAAGGAGCUUCGCAGCUCUCUCUCUCUCAUAGUGAUGAAGGAAACCUCACGGUGGUCUUGCUGCUGAGUGGCCUUCCUUCCUUCCUUAGGAAAGUUGCCCUUGGAGGAGCUGGCAGGGCUCUAAUGGGAUCUCAUUGCUGUACCCUGGAACCAUUUCAUGUGUUACAGCUUGACUGCCUGACAGAAAGUGGCAGGGGGAAGUUUCCCUAUUGGUGCUCAUUUUAAUUGCUUCCAUUUCUGGCACCGGAAGGGAGAAGAUUGCUUUCUUAGUAAUUGACCUGCUUUCUUGCACAAGGAAAAGAAGCCAUAUGAGGUGUUAGCGUGAGCCUCUGCCAUGUCCUGCAUCUCAGAUGGGUACAAAUCAAUUAGAGUUCAAAUCAAUGCCUAGCUGUUCACCUCUAGACCAGAAGUAACUCUUCACUUAUAACCUAUUUUUCUCCCCUUCCAAAUGCUAGAGCUAUUCAAGUACUGUCCUAUUCUUUUAUUAUUGUAAUUAUUAAAUGGUUAAGGACAGUUAGGUCAUGCGUAAGUCAUUUAACAAUACUAAGAAGCAAGAUUAAAUAGGAUUUUUAAAUAGGACUGAGCAACAGCUCGAUUGAUACAAUCUGAGCAGUUACAAGCUCAAACAUAGUUGUGAUAUUAAAUUAUCUGAUUUAACAAGUCAUUUUGAUGUGUGAUGAUCACAAGACACAACCAGCAGUUGAUGAUUUCAAAUUCCCAUGCCAACAGGAGUGUUAGAACUGUUAGUGCCUCCCCACCUCAUGCGCAUGCUCCUGAGGUAAUCCCCUCCCUUCUCUCUCUGGGUGGGACCCUGGCUGCUUUACUGUCAGUUCACUCAUCCUUUCUCUGUCUUCAUUUUUGUAUGCACUGCUCCUGCCUUCUUACAGCCAAACAAGAAGCCGCAGAGGAGCGGGAAGCCAUCAGAGGUUUUACAAUUGCACACAGGAUCCGAAGUUUUGAAGAAGCCCGAGGUCUAGACCGAAUUAAUGAGAGAAUGCCACCCCGAAAAGAGGCUUCAUAUCAUCAUGAUGCAGGGAGGAUGCACUCACACUCGCAUCCGCCACACCCACAGGCGUCAAGAAGGACCGACCAUGGAAAGAAAGCCCUGUAAUGACUCAGGGCCCUGUGCAGCACAGAUGGGUCCCAACCCUAUGAGCAAAUCACAUUUAUUUAUACUGGAAAUGAAACAGGAACAACUCAAACAACUUAAACUUGGAGGUGCAUUUGUAAUUCAGUCGCAUUUAUUCUGUAAGAAAAAUGACCAUUUUAUAAAUUCUUCUAAUUUAUGUUCAAUAUAUAUAUAUAUAUAAAA